GUCUACAGCCAUGCCACCCUGAACAAGCCCGAUCCUGUCUGAUCUCGGAAGCUAAGCAGAGCUGGGCCUGGUUAGUACUUGGAUGGGAGACCACCUAGGAAGACCAGGUGCCCCAGGCG
rnacentral:rRNA from 1 species